rnacentral:misc_RNA from 1 species
AAGUCGUAACAAGGUCUCCGUUGGUGAACCAGCGGAGGGAUCAUUACCGAGUUUACACUCAUAACCCUUUGUGAACCUUAUAACUUGUUGCUUCGGCGGCUCGUCCUUCGGGGCCUGCCCGCCGGCGUUUCAGUAUCUCUGUUUGUACCCGACGAUACAUCUGAGUGUUCUUAGCGAACUAUAAAAACUUUUAACAACGGAUCUCUUGGUUCUA